rnacentral:tRNA from 3 species
UGUCUUGUGUUAAAGGUUAACAAAUUGAUUGCAAAUUAAUUAUUAUGAGUUCGAUUCUCAUCAAGACAU